GGAGACCGGGGAGGAGGCCGGGGCCGCGGGACUCGACUCGCUCUCGGCCGCGCACUCGCUGCUUCGCGGCCGCGGGAGGGAGCGCGCGGAGCGGGACUCGCGAGGCUCGGGCUUCCAGGACAGAACCCGGAGGCUGGGGCCCAGCGAGCUCCGGGUUCCCGGGGGCGCGGCCCCGGCCCAGCUGCCCCACCCUCCCGCCGCGUGAGCGCGCCCCUGGCCCUCCAGCGCGCACCCGUCCGCCCGCGCCCGCGUCCACCUCCCCUCCGCCUGCGUCCGCGCCCCUGCCAGCGCCGGGUCCUGGAGCUCGGGUUUACCCUCCGAGCGUGGAGCUGUUUGCAGGAGCUAACCAGGGCGACCGCGGCCACCCCCUCGUGAAUACGCUCAGUCCUCGUGCUUCAGAAUAGUGAGCUGCGGGCCUGUCUCCAAACCUGUACCGUCUGCCACCGCCCGCGCCGUCACCCCGCGGCUCCGCUGCAGUCCUGUCCGGGAAAGGUUGACAGAGCGAGGCUGGCUGUCUCGCCCGGCAUGAGGCCCCGAGAGCAGAAAACAGGAGCGAGCGGGCACCGUGUGGGAACGCUGGUCGGGUUUACGUGCUCUUGAUCUGGAAUCGAUUGGAGAAAUUUGCAUCAAGUAGGACCUCGCCUUUUCACCUCCAUCCACCUCCUGCAGAAAGCACCCGCAUACCUCCUGGCAUCUCUACCCAGUGGAUGGAUAGGUUGUCUCAUAAAACCAGUAAAAUCUUGUUUACUAACCUAA